UCACUAAGGAUUACAAUGUUCCUCCAAUAAGAAUUACACUCUAAAAAUCAAAGAGUUACAGUGCCUAACCAAUAAGAAUUACACUAUAAAAUCAACUUAAACUACAGUGUAAAUCCAUCAAGAAUUACAGUGUAAAAACCCACUACAAAUUACAGUGUAAAUCCACUGAAAAUUGCAGUGAAAAUCCACUAAGGAGACAACACUUUGUUAACAAGGCCAUACAAAAGUACAAUUCAAGAGGGGCAGUACAAGAAUGUAAAUCUCUUUGCUACUAGAAGAGCUUAACCAAAGCAAGACAAAGGGUUGUUUAUGUUACAGCAGUAUUGUGCAUACAGAUUGGGCCAAGUUCAUGGUCAGUGAAAAUUACAUCAUGCAAAGAAACAAAAAGCCCCACCACGGGCUGCAAUCACAAAAUGAACCGGGGCUGAUGCUGCCUAAGAAUUGUGUAAAGAAACUAUAUGAUGACAGCUGAAUCUCAAAAAAAAAUCACAGGUAGAUGCUAUCAUAAUACCAUGGGAACAAAAAGAGGAUUUGACAUUAUGCAUCUGAAUGCAGGACAGACAAAAUUUAUAGACUGACCACACCCAUGAACUGGAACACUUGCUAAGAAUUACAGUGUGACUCCACUAAAAAUUACAUUGUAAUCCAAUAAAGAAUACAAUGCAAAUCCACUUAGAUCACAAAGGAUUACAAUGUAACUCCAAAUAAGAAUUACACUGUAAAAAUCAAGAGUUACAGUGCAAAAAACCAAUAAGAAUUACACUGUAAAUUCAACGAAAACUACAGUGUAAAUCCGCCAAGAAUUCCAGUGUAAAAACCGACUGAAAAUACAGUGUAAAUCCAUUAAAAACCCACUAAAAGUUCUAACUCAGGUGAAAACGCUAGCAAGCAGAGAAAAAUCCCAUCGAGUCCUUACACGAGUAGCUAAAAUAAGUCAUGUGCAAAAUACCGUAGUUGCCCUACCAAUCUUCCUGAGCAGCAGAAACAAACUCAAACGACCAUUUUAAUCUCCUCGUACACAAAACACCACCUAGCCCAUAGAUUCAGGGGAAUUGAUUGCAGCGACAACCACAGAGCGGUCAAAUAUAUACUUGGUACAAAUUUCAGCGGGAAUGGUAGAGGCGAAGUGAUUCAGGGGAAGUGAUUCUGCGCAUGACAACCAGACGAAUUCAAACAACUAAACGAACACAGAGCAAUCGAUCCUACAAAGACAAACCCUAAACUAGCUCACAAGACAUAUGAGAUUCGAUGCUAGUAACAACGCAACCACAAAUCUACACCACCAAAAAUCUCCGCGGGGAUUACCAGAUGGAAGAUCCCAAAGGGACUAGGCAGCAGAUCUGACGGACAUAACCGGGGGAAAUGGGCCGGGGCGGGAUCGGGGGCCAGCAGAUGCUGCAGACCUCCGGCAGGGGAAAAGGCUCGGAGCAGGAGGGCGCGGGGAAGCCAGACUCCUGACCACCACCCUAGUGAAUCGAGCGGAGAGGGAAGCUCCAAAUCGCCAUGGACCGAGAGAGCUCGCAAACGGGCAGGGGAAAGGCAGCUACAGAGCAAUGACCGGCGCGGGCCGCGGUACCCGAAAAAUGAGCGGACGCGAUAAGAACACAUCAGCUGAGAGGACGAAAAAAAAGAAACACGAAUCUGCAGACAGAGAACGGACGGCUCACAAAACGGAUGAAAG
rnacentral:rRNA from 1 species